UUCAUUUAGAUUCAGGUUUUGUCUUCCCACCGUCAGUCUAGUCAAUUAUUGUUGUUAGAUCAAUUUAUUAUUCAUAAUGUGUUCAUUUCAAUCUGUAUAUCGAUGUUCUAAUUACUUUAUGUUAUUUGAAUGCUAUUUUUUUUCAUUUUUGUCUGCGCUUCCGAAUAAAGCCGAUAGCUUCCCUUGAUAAAUGGGCUACGUAAUACUGAAGAUAUUCAAAACGGCAUGUAGUUACUGAAAUUAUCACGGGGGGCGGGGCGCACCUGCGCGGGCGCCGCUCGUGGGCGGACGAUCAGUCGCCGCGUCCACGCGUCCACCGCCCGCGGGCCACAAGCAAGAUUUAUGAGAAAAAGGUUCAAGAAGCUAAUCAAUUAAUUAGUUAAAGCCCUUUGGCGAAAAUAUUGUGAUAAAUUGAAGAAAAAGUUGGAGUCGAAUAAAAUUAGAUAUAAUGUGUGUGUGUGUAAUGUAUAAUUCUUGUCAUGUAAAAGAUACUUUUAAAUAGUAAGAAGAAUAUUUUUCUGCAAAAAUAAAAGUGAUUUUCUAAAUAGGACAAUGUA